rnacentral:ncRNA from 1 species
GCUUAUCAAGAGUGACUGAGGGGCAGGCCCUGUGACGUCCGGCAACCUACUUAAGGGUAAGGUGCCAAUUCCUGCGGUAUUUACCGAAAGAUGAG